CAAAGUGAACUACGAAGUUGAAGAUCAAGGUAUGAGCUUUGAAAUACAUUUAUUUAUUUGUGGAUGUAAGGUGGUAAUUAGUUCGUCCUUUAGCUCGUUAUUAGCUAUGUGAUGGUAGUGCUUAGAGGUUAGAAAUAAUUUCAAACGAGAGAUGUAGCAUUUAAACUAUUUUUUGAAAUAGUAGGUUGAAGAUGUUGCAUCAAUGUUAGGUGCGUCCAUUAGUAUUGACAUGCGGGAAAUCUUAAUACGGUAAUUAAGAAAAAAUUGUACGGUAAUUGUUUAUUGCAUGCGGUAUGUUAUUUCAUGUGCUAUGUUAUUUUACGUGGUAUGUUUAUUAAUAAGUCUAUAGUUAGGAAACCGUAGGUCUACUUUGUUAUGUCGCAAUAAUCUAAAUUUUAUAUGUUAAGAUUAGGUGCUAAUGUACUUAAUGAUGUAUGUAAUUAGGUAAAAUAAUUCAUCUUAGUAGCAAACAAGGAGGAGAAGACGUGAUUGAAGAAAUUGUGUUUCCAUUUUCGCUGUCCCAUUUUGAGGUGAUGAACACAUGCAUGGAAGUGCUAUUUUUAUACUUUUAUUAGCAGGAAGAAAAAUCCGUGUGUAAUAUUGUUGUUAAUGUGAUAAUAGGUUGACGAGGUUCAUAUAGUACUGGCGACGGAUAUUUAUUGGAACUAUUUUGACACUUAAUUGCAUUCGCAAGCACAUCCAUAUUGGAGCUAAGGUGAAAAAUGACACUGUAAUUUUGUUAAUAUUUUUUGUAUUGAUGUACUAUUGUGAAUAAUGUGCAUGCUGCUACAAAUAUUAUUAUUUGUAGAUAAAUGAUUGUUAUCGUAUGAUGUGAAAAAAAAUUAUAUAAAGCCGAAAGAAAUUAAAUGUUUUACUCAUAUGAUAUUAAAAUGUUAUUAUCGUACUAUUAUGUUUACUGGUUGUUUGGAUAGCGAGUAAUUACCAUGGGUUUUGUCAUAACCUGUUGUGCGAAAAAUAGUUUUUACUAAUAGUCGUUAGAGAAAAAAGAGAGUUUUAGUUUGUGACGCUCGUAGACGAGUUUUAUUUGAACUAUUUGGACUCUUAAUUGCAUUCGCAAGCACAUCCAUAUUGGAGCUAAGGUAUAAAAUGACGCCGUAAUUUUGUUAAUAUUUUUUAUAUUGAUAUACUGUCAUGCCGCUGCAAAAAUUAUUAUUUGUAAAUAAAUGAAUUUUAUCGUAUGAUAUGAAAAACAUUAUAUCAUGCCGGAAGAAAUUAGAUAUUUUACUCAUAUGAUAUUUAAAUAUUAUUAUCGUAAUAUUAUGUUUAGUGGUUGUUUGGAUAGCGAGUACUUACCCUCAGUUUUGUCAUAACCUGUUGUAAGAAAAUUAGGUAGAAAACCAUAUUUUACUAAUAGUCGUUUUUCCAGAAGCUAAGUUUUUGCAUGUUACGAGAACUAUUUUAGGAUAUUUUUGGGGUAGUUAGAGAAAAGCAAACAGAGUUUUAGUUUGUUACGCUCGUAGACAAGUUUGAGAAAAAUAGAUCUUUAUAUACCCGUUAACCAAACAACCCCUUAAAGUCUAAGCAAAUGAUUCUAAAAACAAACCGAAUAUUUAUAACGAAAAUACGGUUAUUAUUUUAGUUGUAAGAUAUGUAAAUGUUGUCAUCGUUACUAAAUGUUCAGUUACUAAUUAUUUAAAAUGUAAACAUGUAUGUUGGUUAGGUACUAUGGAAAAUUUAGUAGUGUACUAUGGGAACAUCUUACGCGACGGUCCAUGCGGGGUGGAUGUGUCCUUCUGCGAGUCGACUACAGUAGUGGUGAGAGACAUGGUCAACGUGGGUUAUGCAGCUGUUAGAAGGUGCAUCCGAGCGGUGUUUGGCCCAGUGAUGCAGGAAAAAAAAUGACAAUGGAGGCCUUCGUCGUUGACGGAGGAAAUGAUGGGACAGUUGCCUGUUGGGGUUUGCGGCCUGUCACAGGUGAUCGGUCGUGGGGGUCGUACAUGAGGUUUGCAAGCAAUCCCAAUAACUCAAUGUAUGGUCAGCCGAUGGUGUAUGUGGAGUUCAUUUCAGUCACUGAUGUUGCCGGAUGUAGUAGCAGGGGUGGUGAGGUAGAGUUGGCCAUCACAUCAGCCCCUAGCAUCGGCCCAUCAGAACCGACGGGCGGCCAGCCUUUGUAUGACACAGGAUAUUGGUCGGCGGCCGUUGACAUGAGCAAACACGUGGAGGGAUUGCCGGAGGCGCUAGAUGAUGAUGAUCAUUCUUCUGCGUCUUCGGAGUCAAGCGGAGAAGAAGAUGUUCCUCCUCAGAGGGCGGUCGCGGCGGCACUGCAACCUGGGUUUUUACAGGAUAUGAGCAUCACCAACGAAUUUCACUCUGCUUAUGGCCUAGGAGCGGGAAGCCUGGAGGUUGGGCAAGUUUUCCCAGAUAAGAAGUCUGCUUACCAGGCAAUGGGUAGCUAUGCAAUCGGCAUCCACCGCCAGCAUAGAGUGAAGCAGUCUGAUAAAAAAGAGUUGAAGGUCAUAUGCAUCCACACCGCGAAAGGUUGCCGCGGAAGAGUUCUCGCUAGACUGAAGCCUGGGGUAUGUCAGUCAUGGCAUAUCACAAAAAUAGUGGAGCAUACCUGUGAGCAAACUGGGACUCUUUCAGAUCACUGCAAUGUGACAGCAAAAUUUGUGGCACAGACGAUGGAAACAAUUGUGCAGGGAAGUCUCAACAUUAGUGUUAGCGCUCUGCAAAAAGAUGCAGAGGAUCUAAUUGGAUUCCCUGUUAGCUACAGCAAGGCUAGGCGUGCGAAGGAAAAUAUAUUCAAGAACUUGUAUGGUACCUAUGAGGAGGCAUAUUCUUAUGCCCCUAGAAUGCUUCAUCAAAUAGCAAGUGCUAAUAGGGGGACUCAAGUUUGGCAGAGAGAAUGUCCAAACCCAAUGAACCCGGGUGAGCUAAUCCUGGACCGCUUAUUCUGGGCAUUCGCCCAGACUAUACAAGCCUUCAGGCACUGUCGCCCGGUAUUAUCUGUUGAUGGUACCUUUCUCACUGGAAAGUACAAGGGCACACUAUUGGUGGCGAUUGCAGCGGAUGCAAAUAAUCAGCUUCUUCCUAUUGCAUAUGCAUUGGUCGAGAGCGAGAACAAAGAUAGCUGGUUGUGGUUCCUGAGCUGCAUGAAGAUUGGUGUCGUGAAAGAGCGUAAAGGUGUUUGCAUCAUUUCUGAUCGCAACACUGGAUUAUUAAGCGCUCUUGAAAUAAUUAAGGCGUCGGAAGAAGAGUGGGGCUGGCCCGAUCUAGAGGGAAGGUGGUGCAUGAGGUAUUUGGCAGCAAACUUUUACUCCAAAUUCAAAAACAAGGAUUGGUUCAAGUUAUUCAAGAGGAUGUGCAUGCAAAAAACUGAAGCCAAAAUGAAUGCGAUAUGGGCAGGUAUCAAUGGUGAGAUCGACCGCGCGGCCUUGCCGCAGAGAGAAGACCGGAGGGGUCGUAGGACGGCCAUAAAUUUGAGCCAGUGGAUCACCGAGAAUUGCCCUCAUUUGGAGAAGUGGGCGCAGGCUCACGACACCGGGGCUCGGUAUGGAAUAAUGACCAGCAACAUGUCAGAGGUGUACAAUGGUGUUCUUAAAGGGGUGCGAGCACUGCCUAUCACAGCCCUAAUUGAAGAAACUUGGAACCGGACCCUGUCAUACUUUGCAGACAGGGUCACCUUCGCCAAAGCACAAGUUGAAUUGAACAAGCCAUGGUCCGAGAAGAUGCAAAGACAUCUGGAUGAGAAAGCAAAGAAGUCCCAAAGUCAUGGCUGCAGGAAAGUGGACGCACUUAGGAAUAAGUGGGAGGUCAAUGUGCGAGCCAAGUAUGUUAAGGGUCACCACAGAGGAUCAAAAAAGCAAGCUGUCACCCUUGGCUCAACCUCCUGUGAGUGCACUUGUAACAAGCCCAAGCUUGAGGGCUACCCUUGCAGUCAUGUGCUCCGAGCGGCUGUUGUUCAAAAAAUCAGCGUUGAGCCAUACAUAUCGCCGUACUUUAACAUGUACAAUCUGUACAACACUUGGAACGGUGAGUUCUGGGCUUGGGGCAUUGAUAUGAACUACAAAAUGUUGUGGCCAGAUGGGCCGAAAUGGGUUCCGAACACCGACUUGAUGAGAACCGCAAAGGGACGACGUCAGUCUAGGCGUCAUCGCAAUGAUAUGGACCAUAGCCAGAUGGGAGAACCAAUGCGAUGCCGCGUUUGCGAGUGUCCUGGACAUUCACGCAAAGACUGCCCGUAUCGAGCCAACAACAACGCAUGAUGUUGAUAUAUAUGUACUCGCCAUGUCUAUUUAUAUUUCUACUCGUUAUGUGUACUUAUAUUAAAUUUAAAUUGAUUCUCUUUGUAUUAUUGUACUCCUGAUGUUAACUUCAGAUAAUUAAUGUAAAUCGUAUCUCUUUGUAUUUUUUUAAGUUAAUUUUGAUUUGCAUUUGUAUUUCUGUCUUCCUCGUAAUUUAUAUUUGUAUGUUUGUGUGCAGGUUAUGGGUGAAGUGCCAGUGCUUUUGCAGGGGCCCCAUGACGCCGGCCACCGUUGCCACCUAUUUUUGAAACCAAAUACUAAGCAUGAUUAUCGGCCUUUCAGACUUCGAACCAUAAAGAAAACAUGGCCAAUACACAAUCAUUUCCUUGCUCACCUUGACGCUUAUGGACUACAAGGUUUUGCUAGGCUCACAUCAUGCGACGACCAAGUACGUUCGGACCCAUCCCUUUUGACAUCCCUCGUUGACCGGUGGAGACCUGAAACCCACACCUUUCACUUUCGUUUUGGGAAGCUUGCACCUACACUGAAAGAUGUUUCUAUGAUCACUGCUCUACCAAUUAGAGAUGAGCCGGUAGUCUCUCCACGAGUGUCUCCAUCUUGGGCAUUAGAUAUAGCAGCCCGUCUUGGGAUGGAAAUGCCAGAAUCACAACGUUCUGGUAACCCUCGGGGCAUCCCACUCGUCUGGCUUCGUGAUAACUUUCUUAAUUUAUCUAGCUUCGUCAAUGAGGAGGCGAGAAAAAGACAUCUGUUUGCGUAUUUGUUGUGGCUCCUUGGGAAUCUAUUUCCAAAUUCACAUGGGGACGUUGUUGUCCCUGGUCUCAUCUACAUUGCAGAGAAUAUGGUAGAUGAACCUUUACCCGAGCAGCCAAAAUACAGCUUCGGUUCUGUCAUGCUAUCUCAUACAUACAGAGGCUUGUGUGAUGCCAUGCAAAAAACCUCUUUCACACAAAAAGCUCUAUUACUUUGUGUCGCCUAUGAGUUUCUACAGUUGUGGUCCUGGGAAUACCUCCCUGUAGGACGACCUCGUAUAAUACAACCCAUAUACCCAUACGACUUUGGCGAGGGUGCUAGCGCAACUAUGGCCACCAGGUGGACAAAGGCAUGGAAACGUUGGUCUCCAGAUAUUGCGAAAAAUUGUUACCCUAUGUACCACCAGUAGUUUGAGAUACUUGAUGAGGCAGAAGUCACAUGGAACCCGUGGACUCAGGACCAGCUAAAAAUGGUCUUUGAUGCUCGACACUUCACACCAGGCAUGUUGACCGAUAGUGCAUUCUGGCUGACUCGAUGCAACUUAUUGUUCCUGUGGUGUGUUGAACCUUACAACCCAGAGCGUGUAAUGAGACAGUUCGGUCUCUAUCAAGAAAUUCCACCACCUUUUCCCAGACGUAUCGACGAGGAAACACAUAAGUAAGAUGUGACAUCCCUAAAUAGUUAGUGUCAUUUUUAAUUUACUAAACUCACACUUUGUUACAUAAUUUGCAGGCUAACAAAUAUGGGCAGGGGUUGGAGUUUAUACGAUUGGAAGGAAGAGAACAGUGAAUGGGUACACAAGUAGGAAAAUGAAGCGCUAGCAGAUAUAGUGCGUCAACUUAGGUACAUUUUAUGUACAUUAUUUUUUUACGAUGAUCAUACGAUGCGUGAAGAUGCUUUGCUUUCAUCACAAUAGUUUAUGUAAUUAUUUAAUUUCGCAGACCGUAUGAUGGAAGUACAGAUCAAGCGUACAAGCAGUGAUAUUGCAUGAACACACGUGCUAGCCUGGCCAGUCAGCCAGCUACUAUACCAACACAUCUCACACAAGAGGAGCAGGCGCGGAGACAUGUUGAGCUGCAUGCAGCUUACUAUCGUGACCACCUGGUAAUCACUUGUAACUUUUUUAGGUCCAUCAUUUCAUAAUCAUUUGAACUAAAUAACAUCCAAAUAUUGUUCAACUUGAAAAUGUCAACGAAGUAGGCCAGAUGGAUACGGAUAGCAUGCCGGCCCAGGGCCCAUAUCGCAAGACAUUCCAGAAACUUUUGCAACAAUUCGUGGCAAAGAAGUUCAGAUGCGGUAGAGGUGACGACGUUGCCACUGGAGCAUACAUGCCGGUAGCAAGGUCAGCCAGACCGAGUGCGGCACCGUCGUCCAGACCGAGCGAGGCGCGUAUGAGCCAUGAGCAAUGGGGGGAGGGUCCGAGUACUAGAACGACAUUGCCACGACAUGACUCAUCUCUGCCGCUGCAUCGCUCUUCUUCGAUGCAGCUUCGUCAGGGGCAGACAUCUCAGGACCAUGGCACGGGCUUGGAUUCGAUGCCCGAGCAGUUUCUUUCCCCUAACCCAUAUGCGUAUACAGGAUAUGAUGCAUACACCCAAGGUGAGGGAUCUCAGCCGUAUCUCUCCACGCGAGGGAUCCCCAUGCCCGAGGAGACUCAUGUACCAGAUUUAAACCAGCACCACGUACAAUGGCCAGACAGUAUAGGAGAGGGA
rnacentral:lncRNA from 1 species